CCGGCAAGCUGAAGCCGCCCCGGCACUCCGUCAGAGGACCGCGCCCGCGCGCCGAGCUGCCUUAAGGGGCUUGACCUGGGGAUGUCCCUAGCCCAGGCUAAGAAAAAGAAUGAGAUCACAGAUAAAUGUGCCAAACAAGAUGUGGACUUGGAACUGACUUCCAGGAAAGAACACUCAAAAGGUGAGAAUAACACAAGACAGAGUUUGGUGAUGAACCUAAAUGAUUGGUUAAGGCCCAAAGAAGUCAGACUUGAUCCAAUUUUCUAAGUGUCAAUUCCAACAUCAUCUUCUAACCAACCCUGAAAAGGCACUCCAUCUGUAAGCCCCAGAUCAAAGGUACUCACAUGCCUGGCAUCCUCAGGAGAGUUUCCAGAGGCAAAUCCAGAAUGUCUCCAUGAUGGGUCAGCCUUGCAGAACAUUAUGUUUUACUGCUAGGCUACAUCUAG